AGUGAACCCUGGCGGUAGGCCUAACACAUGCAAGUCGAACGGCAGCACAGUAAGAGCUUGCUCUUACGGGUGGCGAGUGGCGGACGGGUGAGGAAUACAUCGGAAUCUACUUUUUCGUGGGGGAUAACGUAGGGAAACUUACGCUAAUACCGCAUACGACCUACGGGUGAAAGCAGGGGAUCUUCGGACCUUGCGCGAUUGAAUGAGCCGAUGUCGGAUUAGCUAGUUGGCGGGGUAAAGGCCCACCAAGGCGACGAUCCGUAGCUGGUCUGAGAGGAUGAUCAGCCACACUGGAACUGAGACACGGUCCAGACUCCUACGGGAGGCAGCAGUGGGGAAUAUUGGACAAUGGGCGCAAGCCUGAUCCAGCCAUACCGCGUGGGUGAAGAAGGCCUUCGGGUUGUAAAGCCCUUUUGUUGGGAAAGAAAAGCAGCAGGUUAAUACCCCGCUGUUCUGACGGUACCCAAAGAAUAAGCACCGGCUAACUUCGUG
rnacentral:rRNA from 1 species